rnacentral:rRNA from 1 species
UACGGAGGGUGCGAGCGUUAAUCGGAAUAACUGGGCGUAAAGGGUGCGUAGGCGGACUGGUAAGUCAGCUGUGAAAGUUUACGGCUCAACCGUGAAAUUGCAGUUGAUACUGUUGGUCUUGAGUAUACAUGAGGUGGGCGGAAUUUGUGGUGUAGCGGUGAAAUGCUUAGAUAUCACAAAGAACUCCAAUUGCGAAGGCAGCUCACUGGGGUAUAACUGACGCUGAUGCACGAAGGUGUGGGUAUCAAACAGG